rnacentral:rRNA from 1 species
CCUACGGGAGGCAGCAGUGAGGAAUAUUGGUCAAUGGACGAGAGUCUGAACCAGCCAAGUAGCGUGAAGGAUGACUGCCCUAUGGGUUGUAAACUUCUUUUAUAAAGGAAUAAAACGAGGCACGUGUGCCUGUUUGCAUGUACUUUAUGAAUAAGGAUCGGCUAACUCCGUGCCAGCAGCCGCGGUAAUACGGAGGAUCCGAGCGUUAUCCGGAUUUAUUGGGUUUAAAGGGAGCGUAGAUGGGUUGUUAAGUCAGUUGUGAAAGUUUGCGGCUCAACCGUAAAAUUGCAAUUGAUACUGGCAGUCUUGAGUGCAGUUGAGGUAGGCGGAAUUCGUGGUGUAGCGGUGAAAUGCUUAGAUAUCACGAAGAACCCCGAUUGCGAAGGCAGCUUACUAAACUGUGACUGACAUUGAUGCUCGAAAGUGUGGGUAUCAAACAGGAUUAGAUACCCUUGUAGUC